rnacentral:tRNA from 1 species
UGUUCUGUAGCUUGGUUGGUUAAAGCGCCGGACUAGCGAUAACGGAGUCGUGGGUUCAAAUCCCACCAAAACAA